AUACACUGCUGUAUUGCCACAGCUUUGAGUUUUGACAGUAAGGAGAAGGUAGGUACUUAAUAAGUAUUUAUUGAGUUAAUGAAUUUUGGUGCUCUCGGUUCUGAUUUUAAAACGUUUUCUGUUUCAUUGACUCUCCUGUUAAGAAAACAAAACCUUUCCCAAACUUAGCUAUUUAAUAUAGAAACUAUAAUUCUAAAGAAUAAAGAGAAGAAAGAGAGAACAGACAGACACAGACGUUAACUGGUGCACGACUUAUGGUCCCUAUAUUUAAAUGGGCAUGAACUGUGGUGAGCUAGUUUUUCUGGAUUUCCCUUUCUGCCUUAUUUAUUGUGGAAAUUUGUACACAAAGGUGUACAAAGAUAACGUACUAUAUAUUCAUGUAUUUUUUGAACUUCAAAAAUUAUCCACAUUUUGCCAAUCUUAUCCAUGUCUGAUCUUUCUUUUUCCUGUAGUACAUUUAAGCAAAUCCUAAAUAUGGUGUUAUAUUACCUCAAAAUACUCCAGUAUACAUUUCCGAGGAUUUUUUUAACCAAAUUGUCAUGACAUGUAACAUAAGGAGUAAUCAUUUCAAGAAUUAAUAUCCUAUACAGCCAGCCCAUAUUACAAUGUUUCAAGGAUGUACUUGUUAGCUCCAGAGACUUGAUUAGACUCUGCCAAAUCAGUUUUUGAUGGGCUAUGGAUUUAAAAUCUCUAAUCUUGUUUACUGGUUUAUGAAAGAUAAUUUGAAAUUGCUCUCUUGAGCAUCCUGACCCUUUGAUUCAAGCAAAUAUUGUGGGACUGAGGGGAAGCUAUGAAGUUCUUUGCCAAAUGUUACCAUGUUAAAUCUCUUCAUUUUGAGGAGAAAAGAUUAGAAGAUGGCUUUGUGAUAUGAUCUGUGUGGCAGUUUCUGAUGUUGAAGUGAAUAUACUAGAACAAUUUUCUCAUAGAAUGGGAUAUAGUAAGAGCACUGUUCUGAAGUCAGACAGCCCUCGCUCCAAAUUCCUGCUUGACCACUUCCAAGCCAUACAACUUGG
rnacentral:lncRNA from 1 species